UUUCGCUCAGCAGUACAUAUACUGAAAUUGGAACGAUACCAGAGAAAAUUAGCAUCGCUCCUGCGCAAGGAUGACUCGUUUGUCAGGCAAAAGACUUCUUUUUUG